rnacentral:rRNA from 1 species
AUUGAACGCUGGCGGCAGGCCUAACACAUGCAAGUCGAGCGGAGCGGCGGACGGGUGAGUAAUGCCUAGGAAUCUGCCUGGUAGUGGGGGAUAACGUACGGAAACGGGCGCUAAUACCGCAUAAGAGCAGCUGAGCCUAGGUCGGAUUAGCUAGGUGGUGGGGUAAAGGCCUACAAAGGCGACGCUCCGUAACUGGUCUGAGAGGAUGAGCAGUCACACUGGAACUUAGACCCGGUCCAGACUCCUACGGGUGGCAGCAGUGGGUAAUAUUGGACAAUGGGCGAAAGCCUGUUCCAGCCAUGCCGCGUGUGUGAAGAAGGUCUUCGGAUUGUAAUGCACUUUAAGUUGGGAGGCGUUACCAACAGAAUAAGCACCGGCUAACUUCGUGCCAGCAGCCGCGGUAAUAC